UGGGGAAUCUUCGGCAAUGGACGGAAGUCUGACCGAGCAACGCCGCGUGAGUGAAGAAGGUUUUCGGAUCGUAAAGCUCUGUUGUAAGAGAAGAACGAGUGUGAGAGUGGAAAGUUCACACUGUGACGGUAUCUUACCAGAAAGGGACGGCUAACUACGUGCCAGCAGCCGCGGUAAUACGUAGGUCCCGAGCGUUGUCCGGAUUUAUUGGGCGUAAAGCGAGCGCAGGCGGUUAGAUAAGUCUGAAGUUAAAGGCUGUGGCUUAACCAUAGUACGCUUUGGAAACUGUUUAACUUGAGUGCAAGAGGGGAGAGUGGAAUUCCAUGUGUAGCGGUGAAAUGCGUAGAUAUAUGGAGGAACACCGGUGGCGAAAGCGGCUCUCUGGCUUGUAACUGACGCUGAGGCUCGAAAGCGUGGGGAGCAAACAGGAUUAGAUACCCUGGUAGUCCACGCCGUAAACGAUGAGUGCUAGGUGUUAGACCCUUUCCGGGGUUUAGUGCCGUAGCUAACGCAUUAAGCACUCCGCCUGGGGAGUACGACCGCAAGGUUG
rnacentral:rRNA from 1 species